rnacentral:tRNA from 1 species
GCUCAGUUGGUUGAGCAUCUGACUUCGGCUCAGGUCAUGAUCUCAUGGUUCGUGGGUUCAAGCCCCAC